rnacentral:rRNA from 1 species
GACGAACGCUGGCGGCGUGCUUAACACAUGCAAGUAGGACGCAGUUGCGAACGGGUGAGUAACGCGUAGGUAACUACCUAUUAGAAGGGGAUAACUAUUGGAAACGAUAGCUAAUACCGCAUACUAGUAGAUGGACCCGCGUUGUAUUAGCUAGUGGGUCGGGUAAUGGCCUACCUAGGCCACGAUCCAUAGCCGACCUGGGAGGGGGACCGGCCCCACUGGGACUGAGAAACGGCCCAGACUCCUACGGGAGGCAGCAGUAGGGAAUCUUCGGCAAUGGGGGGAACCCUGACCGAGCAACGCCGCGUGAGUGAAGAAGGUUUUCGGAUCGUAAAGCUCUGUUGUUAAGGAAGCGGUACUUAACCAGAAAGGGACGGCUAACUACGUGCCAGCCGCCGCGGUAAUUC